UACGUAGGGCGCAAGCGUUGUCCGGAAUUAUUGGGCGUAAAGAGCUCGUAGGCGGUCUGUCGCGUCUGUUGUGAAAACUCGAGGCUCAACCUCGGGCUUGCAGUGGAUACGGGCAGACUAGAGUGCGGUAGGGGAGACUGGAAUUCCUGGUGUAGCGGUGGAAUGCGCAGAUAUCAGGAGGAACACCGAUGGCGAAGGCAGGUCUCGUGGGCCGCGAACUGACGCUGAGGAGCGAAAGCAUGGGGAGCGAACAGG
rnacentral:rRNA from 1 species